ACUGGGAAGACUUACUUGACCCUUUGGAUUACGAUCUUCGACUAUACCUCAUUCACUAUGGCCAAAUGUGUCAAGCCAUCUACGACUCAUUCAACAAUGAGGAAGCUUCUAAAUACAGAGGAACAAGUCGAUACUCCAAAAAGAACCUCUUCACAAGAGUGGGGCUCGACAAACACAACCCCUACAAAUAUGAAAUCACUAAAUAUGUAUAUGCAGCUUCACAUGUACCAAGUGAAACUGAGAAGGUGAAACAAUCAAACUGGAUUGGAUAUGUUGCUGUUGCCGCUGAUGAGGGUAAAAUUGCAUUAGGCAGGAGAGAUAUUUUAAUUGCUUGGAGAGGGACCGUGAUGGUCUCAGAAUGGAAUGAUGAUUUUGAAAAUUCAUUGGUCCAACCAACAGAAAUCUUUGGAGAAAAUACGAAUAACAUUCUAGUACACAAAGGUUUUUAUUCAAUUUAUACUUCUCUUAACGAGGCUUCGGAUUUCAAUCGAACAACCAGUGCUAGAGAUCAGGUAGUACACCAUUUUUCUUUCUAUAUUUUAAAGCAAUUUUCUAGGGGUUUACUCAUUAAAAUUCUCUUUUGUAUUUGUACAUUAAAACAGGUCCUUGAAGAAGUUAAAAGGUUGUUGGAUCAAUACAAGGAGGAGGAAGUGAGCAUCACUGUUACGGGCCAUAGUUUGGGUUCAUCAUUAUCCACACUAUGCGCGAUUGACAUAGUUGUGAACCAGAUCAAUAAGGAGUUUCCAGUGACUGCAUUUGUGUUUGCUUGCCCACGAGUCGGAGAAAAGAAUUUCAAGAAAGCUUAUGGCAAACUGAAAACCCUUCAAAUCUUACGCAUUAGCAAUGCGUCUGAUCCUGUUCCGAAAUUACCAGAGCGUGGAGUCGUAGACGGUUCUGAAAAUGACUGGAGAGUGUAUGAAGAUGUUGGAUUUGAACUGUUAAUGGAGACAACAAAGUCAAAGUACUUGAAGAAAUGCAUAAAUAGUCAUAUUCUGGAGGUUUAUUUGCACGGAAUUGCUGGAACACAUGGACCAGAAGGAGAGUUCAAGUUGGCAAUAGUUCGGGAUAUUGCUCUUAUGAAUAAGGCAGCCGAUGUGUUGAAGGAUGAAUAUGGUGUGCCGGUGUCAUGGUGGAUCGAGAAGAAUAAAGGAAUGGUUCAACAAGAAGACGGGUCUUGGAUUCUCAUGGAUCAUGAGGAUGGCGACACUUAUUUCUUACCAUAGAUUGUGAUUUGUUAUCUAAUCUCUGGGUUUUAUUGUAAAACUUCAUGUAUUCAUCAAGUGCCAGUAAUAAGCGAGUACGAUAGUCUUUUACUACACGGGUUUUAUCAUAUUUGUUCAGAUUAAAAGGGAUUGAGUGCUUAAAUGAAUCAUAGCAAAUCUGUUUUAUUUAAUUUGAUGUUCAUACCAGAGCAGUGGGUCACGCAAGCCUUUUAUCUCUUUUCAUCUAUUUUCAGUAAAGUGGAUGCUUUGAAUUCAUUCAGAUGUACUUGUCCUUCUUCCUUCAGUGCUGACUUAAAUGGAUUUGUGUGCAUUAAUUAGGAUCAUCUUUUAAAAUUUUGUACUACUAUAAGAUGGUGACAGGAACUUGCUUGAAAAUAUAUAAUGCAUUAGAAAAUUAGUAGUAAUUCAGAUGGCUAGCCAGUUUGUUAGCAACCAAAAUAUUUUCUGUGUGGGGACUGACACCAAAGCCAUUGCCCAAUCGAAUGGGUUGAUUUGGGUAUUUCAACUUCAGAGUUUAAUUGGUAAUUCACCGUUCUGAUCAUUUCAGCUCAAGUUGGAAUGGUCAUACAUAUCAUUGGCAUGACACAAUUUAUUUUCUACGCUCUUGAUAUUAUUUGGCCGCUAGUUUCUCGAGAAUCAAUGUAAGACUUAAAAUUACUAGACUAUCACAUACUUGCUAAAAUUCAAAGGCGUUAUUAGUGUUUGGGCAAUUGGAAGAGAAUCGAUGUCAUGGGGAAACCAGAGGAGUGGUGGUCACUCUAUGCUCUAGUUAGUUAUUGCUAGUGUUUUCUCUAUUCUCUAUAAUUUCAAGAUAAGUGUACUGGCUUACUCUUUUUUUGGGUGUUUUAUACAUCUCUUUUAUGUUUUUGUUUGCACUGUUUCUUAUUUUAACAUUUUUCACAUAUAACAAAGUUGAUUUUGAACACUCACCUAAUAGAAAUUAGGCAUAAUACAUAACCACGUCCUUUAACUUGACAUCAGUUCACAUCUAUGACCUUCAAUUUUCGAUGUGCAUUAGUAUACACUUAAACCUGUAUAAAGUUGAACGAGUAGACACGUCCGUCAUAUGCGGUAUAAUACACGUAGGAUGCAAUGUGAGACAUGAAUUGGCCACGUAGAAUGUCACAUAGGACGCAUGUGUCUUUUUGUUCAACUUUAUACAAGUUUAAGUGUCUACUUAUAUACAUUCAAAAUAGGAAGACAUAGAUGAAAGUUGAAGCCAAAUUAAAGGACAGAUUCAUUCUAAAGAAUUGGCGAUGCCAAAACUCCUAAAUCCUCAGAUAAUGGCUAUAUUCUCAUGCAUUUCAAAUAGACCACCUAUUUUUCUUUUUCACUGAAAUGGUUUAAUAUGUCCUGAUGUAUGUACCAUGCGCAAAGUAAAUUCUAAUAACCAGUGAUUUCUCAAGCAUGUUGCAAGCUUAUUAUCUGUUUAUUUGACAGUCUUCUAUGAUUUUUCUAGCAACUAAAUUACUGGUUGAAGAAUAUUUUAUUGUUCUUCCAAACAGUAGAAAAAGAAUCUAUUUUUCUUCUUUUUACUAGAUAUUGUGCAACUUUGAGAAGUCCAUUUUCUACGAUGUAGUUUGAUUCUCUUUCAGUUUCGUUGUUGGAAUAACUGCCAUAACUAUUUAUUCUAGAGGCUAUGUGAUGCGGUAACUCCUAAAAUAUGCACGUAAGGUUUUAACCAUCUAAAGGUUAAUAGCAUCAACUGUAAGGAAUUUGUACAUGCUUAUGUAGUUUAACAAUAGCAUAUAUUUGGAAACUCUUACCUCUUUUGACCUCUAGAUAUACCAUUGACACCCUGCACAGUUGUACUUCAUCUUAAAUGAGCAUGUAUAAGAGUCGCAUGUAAAAAAUUUAUAGGUAUUUGAGUGUUCGAAAAUGGUGUGGCUCUGUAGGCUCUAACCAUUGCAAAAUAGUACCUGUUUAUUAGCCUGUUGCCUUAACACCAUUUGCUUGUGAGAGUAAGGUUUCCCUUUUUGCUCGUCUGUUGGAUGCUUUUGUUUACAGUGUGCAGAACAUGAGGUAGAUAUCUGCGUCUGUGUUAUACUCCCCCCUUUAAAUGGAUGAUGAGGUUGAAAAAAAUUCAAUGUCGUGAGUGUUGUCACCACUAGGAAAAUGUGUUGCAAGAACAUAUGUAUGAACUGUCACCAUUGUAAGACUCUGCAAAAAGUCAAAAGGAUCUAUUUGGUAAUUCAACAUGGGUUCUACUGAUGAAUGAUGACCGUAUGAAACCCAUUUCUGGCUUGUGUAGCUUUGCUGGAUGUAAUUUCUUCAGACACAUGGAUUACUAGUAUUUGAACUUGUAAUCAAUCUGGAAACACCUUAUUCUUUCUAUUGGAAAUAUUAACAUCAGUUAAUUUUCCUAAGGGUAGUUUAGUCAUUUUACUCUCUUAGUUUGUUGAGUCGGUUAUUGUAGUCUAUAAAUAGACAGCUGUACUGUAGCAUUAGUGAGUAAGAAAGAUCAGUUUUCUUCUCCUCUCAUUCGUUCCUUGUUGGCUUCAAUGGUGAAGUAGAAGUUGUGAUUGUUUCUGUAAUUUCUAGUAGAUUUCAUUUGUUCGUUGAUAAGUUAACAUGGUAUCAAAGCCAGACCCAUCUCACCCAAUGUUGGGCCUCCGGAUUGAGAUUCGGGAGAGAUUUUCCACGCCCACUAUUGGGCCUCCAGAUUGAGAUUCGGGAGAGAUUUUCCACGCCCAGAGGGGGAUGUUAGAAGAAAGAGAAGAAGAAAGUCCCACAUUGGUGGUUAAUGAGAUGGUUGGUCUCCUUAUAAGGCUUGGGCAAUCCUCCUCAUAAGCUAGCUUUUGGAGUGUGAGUUAGGCCUGUGAGGUUGUGAGAUAAAUAAAUGAGAUGUUUUUCUCUACUCCAGGUUCUUUCUGACCUGUGCAGUGAUGACAUGGAUGUUGGCAUAAAGAAACUUGGUGUCAUUGAUAGUUAUCCUUUUCGCACUGCAUGCAAACAGAAAUUCUCGCGUCAAGUUGCCGAGGAAAAAGCGAUAGAAUGGUGUUCUAUUUGGCAGACAGCUGUGGAAGACCCCAACUGGAAUCCAUUCAGAACUAUAUCACCUCAAAUGGGGAAGUUGUAUGUAUCUGGAUCGUUUCUUCUUUCUAUGUUGCUCGGACACUUCAAAAAUAUAGUUGCGCACAUAAGUUCUUGAAUUCAUGUAGUUAAAUGAUGCAAUAAAAGCACUCCUACCAUAAUAAAUGAGUAAAACGGUACAACAAAAUGAUUAUGUAAACUGAUUUCCUAUUUUCUAUGAUCUGAUAAAAUAAAUAAAGUUAUUGGUACAAUUUGUACUCUCUGAAUUUCUGUCCUUCCAUCGAAUUCCACCUGAACUGUUUAUCAGGUGUCCCCUACAGGACAUUUUCAACUGAAUUCUUUGUACUUUAAAUUACAUGAUCAAUGCAAGCCUUCUUAAAACCUAAGUUGCGCGGACUAUUCACUUUCGAUGCCACACCCAUGCUGGAUUCUCCAAAAAUUACACUAGUUUUGGCGAAUCCGACAUGCACCCGUUAGACAUUUUUGAAGAGUCCGAGCAACUUUGCUUAAAACCAUUGUUUGUGCUUCACGAAAUGGUAGACAGAGAGGACAAGGAACUCCAGCAGCUGAGGAAAGACUGGGGAUAUGAAGCAUAUUCAGCUGUUGUUAUAGCCUUGACAGAAAUCAAAGAGUAUAAUACAAAGGGUAGAACCAUGACUCAUCAUCUCUGGAAUUAUGAAUGAGAACCUAAACCACUUCUUUUUAGAUGAUUGCUAUUCACUCAGCUCAAAAUCUACUCCGAUUAUACAGUUCCAAUCUAUCUAAGAGCAGAAUUCUAGGACAACACAAUCAACACUUUAGAUUGAAUUGGAGGAAAAAAAUGAGUUUGAGAUUCUAACUCUAAGGAAUGUACCAUAUUUUAUUUGUUUGAUUGCCCAUUUUAUAUAUGAAUUUUUACUGGCCGUAUUAUUUUAUUGGAUCAGUGGGAUGACGCUGACAUGAGUUUAGCUCAAAUGGAGAAGCAUGGUCAAUGAGGAUUCAUAUAGCCGACCCCAACUUGUUUGGGAUUGAGUCAUAGUUGUUGACUUGUUGUAAUAGGAUAAUAAAGGGAAAGGGAGUUCUCUGUAUGAAAUAGAACAGUUGUGCCAUGUUUGAUUUUUUCUUAAUUAAUUACCAUUGGAGGUUAGGUUUUGAGUCUCUACAGAGACAAAAUGUUUGGAUUUAUUCUCAUCUGCGUAAGCUUUGGUGGUCAAAGUAACCCGGGCUUAUACCAGUGGAAGAAUGGAGGUACCUGUGAAAAGUCGAGGUGCACAUGAGUGACCUGAACAGCGAACUAUCACACUUACCAUGUUUUUGGUUCAAAAAGCUCAUACAACUUCUUUCCCUCCGUGUAGGAAGACCACUGGCCUCCAAUUAUGUUAUGUAGAUUUUAGCUGCUUUGAAAGAAAAUAGUAUGGCUGUGGUAUAUUGUAACGCCCCACAUCGUCCAUGCGUUAGCUCGUGGUAAUAUGCUCUUAGAGUUAAAUGACUAGAAUAGUGUCAAAGAGACUUAGUCUCAUUUUUUUGACUUCCAAAGUAAGUAAAGUUUAAACCAUAUAUAAUUUCCCUAAUUUCAACUUUUUAUCAUGUGGAAAAUUGAAUGAGCUUUCCGUCGAUAUAAGAUUCGCCCAAAUCCGAUAUCCGGGCAAAAAGUUAUGGCUAGUUUAAGUCGUAGUCGUAAAACACCAUCAUUUUGGUACUUGGCGCGUCGCGGAGGGGGUCUACUUAGCAAUUGUCAAAUUCCAGUAGCCUAGCGCAAUUGUGGCGCGGCGCUGAAGUUUUAGGUUCCAACCAGUGGGACAACGCUAUGGCUCCGCGUCGCGGUGACCUUAAGAUUCCCAUUCAUCAAAUUUCAGUGAGCCACCGCGAUUGUGGCGCAUCGCGGUGGCCCAUAAAACUGGGCUCCCAGUUAUAUUUUAUUUCGUCUCAUUAAGGGCAUAUUAGGUAUUUUUUCACCCCCUUAUCAACUUAAACAUGGGAUUACACUCCCAAGUGACCACAUUAUUCAUAUUUUCAUCAAAAAUUCACAAGAACAGUCUCUAGGGUUUCAAACUAAAAACCCAAAUAACUCAAGAUUUAACCGUGGCUUUUCAAGAUUGAUUGAAGAUUCGGAAUUCCCAAACUGUAGGCUUCAAGAAUCAUCCAUUAUUUUCUGUAUUGAGGUACGUGGGGUUUUCCUAAAAAUCUCACAGGCAUAGAAAUCAUGUUUUUUAAGAAAAGGGUUUUAGAUUUAUAAUUUAUAAUCAUGUUUUAGAAGUCUCAAUGAUAUUGUUUUGGUCUUUAGGCCUUUCCCCAAAUUGAUUUAAAAUUCUAUAUAUAUGUAUGCAUGUGUUUAAGGAUGAAUAUUCAAUUGAGAGCAUGAGUUAUAAUGAAUUCCUCUCUUGAUAUGAUUUUUCCCAUUAUUCGUAUGAUAUGGAUUGUUUUGAAAAACAUGUUAUGAAAGGUCUUGAAUUAUACUAUGAUUUGAACAUGAUUGUGAAAUCAAAAGGGUUGUGCAUGUUGAUAAAUGUUGAAUAUACAUAUAAUGAAAGAGUGCAUGGUUUUGCCAAAGGUACAUGACCACCAUAUGUUUGAAGAAUUCUUGCAUAGUUUUGACUUAUGUUUCGAAACAUGAAAUCUCUUAUACUAUUUGCAUGUUUGGGUGGUCUGAAUUGAGUUCUGAUGAAAGAAUCAUGCAUGAUGCAUUAUGGUUCAGAAAAAGGACUUGCAAGUUUUGGAGUGACGACACCAAUUCAGAUAAUGCCAUGUUAAUUUAAAACAGAAUAGAAUGCAUGUUUGAAAUUAGAUUUUUAGAUUUUGAAACUAGAAUGAUGCAUGUUUCAGAACAGACUAAAAUUGGGCAUGAAGAGAGCUUAGGUGAUUCCCCAAAGAAGGCACGAGUUCAGACAACUCAUUGCCCCAAACCAUGAUUUGCCGAUCCGAGUAUAUUAUUAUACGCUGGCCUACUGCCCUAUGGCGUAUCAGACUCAGACACUCCAAUCCUUGCGGCACACUUGGGUUGGGGGCUUUUCCACCGAGUCAAUAGCAGAUUCCAUAUAACCCGUGGAAUAUCAGACUUGUAGGGGAGUGCCGCCUAACUCAGAAGUAAUACAAAGAUUAGAGGCUGUAUUGACAGAAAAGUUUUAUGAUUAUCAAAGAUGCCUAUGUGUUUUGGAAUUUAUAUCGUAUGUGAUGUUUUAUGACUAGCUCUCAACUAUUUUAUUUAUAUUAAAAGUUUUAUUUUGGAUUGCUCUGCGUACCAGUAUAUCUGUAUGUAUUGACCCCCUACCUCCCAGGUUUGGAGGCUCAGUCCAAGGGUCUGGCUAAUUAGUAGAGUAUUCCAGAGAGAAGUGAUCCAUUCAGUGGUAAGCCUUCUUUGUUCCAGAAGGCCUAUUAUUUCAGAUUAUGUUAUUCCGUUGUUUUGGUCUACUGUGGGCCUUGUCCUAGUUUUCAGAAUAGUUUUGAGAUGUAAUAGAGAUUUGGUAGACUGAGUCAGAUCUUAUUUAGAUGUUUUGAAUUGUAACUUUCAUUCCUAUGUCUUAAAACUCAGAGUCAAUGACCAUGUUUCCGUAUCAGAUUAUAUUUCCAUAUAUUCUCUUAUUAUAUGAAUAUUGUGCAUGACUGCCAGAUAGAGUAGGACAUUCGGGCCUUCAUAGUUGGGGAUGUCCGUCAUAGCCAGGCCCUAGUCCGGGUCGUGGCAAACUUGGUAUCAGAGCACGGUUCAUGGUCUCAGGGUGUCUACGAAAUCGCGUCGGGUAGAAUCUUAUUUAUGGGUAUGUAAUGCGCCACACUUAUAAGCAGGAGGCUAUAAGACAUUUAGGUAUGUCUCUCUUCUUUAUGGUUUAGUUCAUGCUUUAGAGUCUUAAUUGUCCCCUAAUUAAUGGUCUCUUGUGUUUCAGAGAAACAAUCAUGCCUCCCCGUCGUACUAUCGAUCAGAAUGCAUAGAUAGAUGAGGUCCAUCCCACUCAUAGGAUAAGGACUCAAAAUAAAGCUCAGACUCUGGAGAUUGAUGCUACUCUGGGAGUCCUACCUACUCGGACUAGCCCACCCAGGGCACCCAGAGCUCCCCGGAUGGGGACUAAUCACACUCAGCCUUGAGAGAGAGAGGUAUCUAAUGCAGAAUUCAGACAGUCUAUUCAUAUGCUUACAUAGUUGGUAGCCACACCGAAUCAACGGUCGAAAGAUGUUGGGUCUGCAUCGGUCACAUCUGAGGCUACUAGGGUGGGUCAGUUAAUGAAAAUGAACCCACCCAAGUUUUCAGGUACCAAAAUAGAGGAGGAUCCACAGGAGUUUAUGGAUGAGGUAGAGAAGAUCUUCAAGGUGAUACAUGUAGACGAGGUGGAAGGGGUGGAAUUAGUAGCUUACCAGCUUAAAAAAGUUGCGAACCAGUGGUAUAAUGAGUGGGAGGAUUCUAAGGGUAAGAGUGCUGAGUCCAUGGUAUGGGGCGAGUUCAUGGAAGCCUUCCUUGAUCGGUUCUUUCCCCUUGAGUUGAGAGAGGCCAAAGCUGAGGAGUUUAUGAACCUUAAGCAAGGAAAAAUGAGUGUCAAGGAGUACACUCUGAAGUUCAACCAACUGGCUCGUUUUGCUUCGGAGAUGGCUGGUAAUAAAAGAGUCUGAAUGAGGAAAUUUACAUCCGGCCUAUCGGAUGACUUAGUGCUUGAAUGUAAGGGGGCUAUACUGAACAGGGACAUACACUUUUCUAGGCUGUUAGUGCAUAUGCAGCAGGUAGAGGAGCAGAAAAAAAAGAAUCGCUGAAUCUAGGGAGAAGGACAGAUAGGCAAAGAGAGCCAGAACAGCGGAUCAGAACCACAGUCAACCACAGAGUGGUAAUUAGGGAAAUAAAUGGCAGUAGAACAAGAAUUGGGGUAAUGCUCAGUCCGCAGCUAGCGUCCAUACCUCUAGUAGAUCGACGACCUCAGAGUUUCCAAACUAAUCAUAGAUCCAGAGCUCAGGAUACCCAGUCAAAGGGCAGCGUAGCUUAGCAACAUCGUACGUUUCCGAGGUGUGAGACCUGUAGUAGGCAUCAUCCAGGGAGGUGUCAGCUGGGUUCGCUGGUACACUAUUCAUGUGGUCAGUCGGGUCACUUUCAGAGAGAUUAUCCUUUGGCUAGAAGGAGUGUUUGUGGUGCUAAAUAUCAGGCAAAUUCUUUCGCACCACCAUUUCCCAAAAAGGGCGCCACCUCAGCUGCUGGGAGUGGUCGCAACUAGCUGUAUGCGUUGUCCAACCACCAGGAGGCGGAAGCCUCUCCAGACGUAGUCACCGGUAUGUUACAAAUCUUUUCUCGUGAUGCUUAUGUAUUACUUGAUCCCGGGUCUAUCCUAUCUAUAUGACCCCUUAUAUGGCUAUCAGUUUUAGGUUUGAGCCCGAUGAAAUUUCAGAACUUUUCUAUAUUUCCACUCCGGUGGGUGAUUCUAUUGUAGCUAGGAGAGUGUAUAAAAAUUAUGUGGUGACUGUUUGUGGCCAGGAUACCGUGGCAGAUCUCAUAGACCUAGAUAUGAUUGAUUUUGAUGCUAUUCUAGGGAUAGACAGACUUCAUUCGUGCUAUGCCACAUUAAAUUGUAGAACCCGAAGAGUCACUUUUUUUUCCGAAUGAACCAGUGAUAGAAUGGGAGGGGCAUUCUUUAGCGCCUAGAGGGAAUUUUUUAUCUUAUCUCAGAGCCUAUAAACUUAUCUUCAAAGGUUAUUUAUAUCAUCUUAUUUGGGUUAAAGAUUCUAAUGCCGAAAGUCUUCCUCUCCAGUCAGUCCCUGUGGUAAAUGAGUUUCCAGAAGGCUUUCCAAAAGAUCUCCCAGGAAUACCACCUGAUAGGGAGAUAGAUUUUGGUAUUGAUUUAUUGCCGGACACCCAUCCCAUUUCUAUUCCGCCAUAUAGAAUGGCUCCUGCAGAACUGAAAGAGUUAAAAGAACAGCUAGCAGACCUUUGAGACAAAGGUUUUAUACGUCCCAGUGUUUCUCCCUAGGGUGCACCUGUACUCUUCAUGCGAAAGAAAGAUGGUUCUCUACGUAUGUGCAUAGAUUGCCGCUAGCUAAAUAAGGUCACUGCUAAAAAUAAAUAUCCUCUUCCUAGGAUUGAUGAUCUCUUUGACCAACUUCAGGGUGCUAAAUAUUUUUCAAAGAUAGACCUUCAUUCGGGAUACCAUCAGUUGAAAUUUAGAGAGUCAGAUAUUCCCAAAAUAGCUUUUCAAACCAGAUACGGUCAUUACAAAUUUCUAGUCAUGUCCUUUGGGUUGACUAAUGCCCCUACAGUCUUCAUGGAUCUUAUGAACAGGGUGUUCCAUCAGUUUCUAGAUCUGUUUGUUAUAGUUUUCAUAGAUGAUAUUCUGAUUUAUUCCAAGAGUGAGAAGGACCAUGCCAAUCACCUCCGAAUCAUCCUUUCGACUCUCAAAGAUCAUAAAUUAUAUGCAAAAUUUUCCAAGUGCGAAUUCUGGCUUAAUACUAUUGCUUUCUUGGGGCAUAUCGUAUCUAGUAACGGGAUUAAGUUUGAUCCCUAAGAGAUUGAGGCAGUGAGAAAAUGGCCCAGACCCAUGACUCCAAUCGAUAUUCGAAGCUUCUUGGGUUUGGCAGGGUAUUAAAGAAGAUUUGUAGAGAGUUUUUCUUCCAUAUCUACACCACUUACUAAGUUGACUCAGAAAAAGGUGAAGUCCAUGUGGUCUGACUCCUGUGAGAAUAGCUUUGAGAAGUUAAAAGAUAAGUUGACAAUUGCUCCUAUUUUGACUCUUUCGAAAGGUACAGAGGGGUUUGUUAUGUACUGUGAUGCAUCCCGUGUGGGACUUGGGUGUAUACUUAUGCACCACGGUAAGGUGGUGGCCUAUGCAUCUAGGCAGUUGAAGGUGCAUGAGCGAAAUUACCACACCCAUUACUUGGAGUUAGUGGCUGUGGUGUUUGCGCUUAAAAAUCUGGCAACAUUAUCUCUUUGGGGUACAUGUUGAUAUAUUUACUGACCACAAGAGUUUACAGUAUAUUUUCUCGCAGAAAGAAUUAAACCUCAAACAAAGACGAUGGUUGGAGCUUUUAAAGAAUUAUGACAUGAGCUUGCACUACCAUCCGGGCAAGGCAAAUGGGGUAGUCGAAGCCCUCAUCAGGUUGUCUAUGGGCAGUCUUUCUCGUGUUGAAGAAGGAAAGAAAGAGGUGGUGAAAGCUAUUCACCGCCUUGAAGAGUACGGCUCUUGAAUUCCGAAGAUGGGGGAGUGGUUGUUCAUGAGGUAGAUAAAUUUUUGCUUUGUGCAGAAGUUAAAGAGAAGCAGGUUGAAGAUCCUAUCUUAAUGUAGAUCAAGAAAGAUGUGGGUCAGCAAAAGGUGAUGUUUUUUGAAAUAGGUGGUGAUGGUAUUUUAAGAUAUCAGGCUCGACUAUGUGUUCCAGAUGUAGAUGGGUUACGAAAAAGAAUCCUUGACGAAGCUCAUGCCUCGAGGUAUGUUUUUGAUCCAGGCUCUACUAAGAUGUACCAUGAUCUAAAGACCUUAAAUUGGUGGAAUAAUAUAAAGCGUGAUGUGGUUAAUUAUGUUUCCAAGUGUUUGAACUGCCAACAAGUUAAAGUAGAACAUAUGAGGCCAAGUGGUACGUCCCAAGAGAUAACUUUUCCUUUGUAAAAGUGGGAGACGAUCAAUAUGGACUUUAUUACGGGACUUUUGAGGUCCCAAAACUAGUAUGAUUCUAUUUGGGUGAUUGUUGACAGGCUGACCAAGUUAGCACAUUUUCUGCCUGUGAGGACCAACUAUUCGGGAGAUGAUUAUGCCAAGCUUUACAUUAAGGAAAUAGUUCGCUUGCAUGGAGCACAUGUAUCCAUCAUAUCUUACCGAGGUACGUAAUUCUCUUCUCAGUUUUGGAGAUCUUUGCAGAGGGGCUUAAGUACCUAGGUGAAUCUGAGUAUUGCAUUCCACCCUCAGACUGAUGGGCAAACUGAGCGCACCAUUCAGACCCUUGAGGAUAUGUUGAGGGCUAGCGUGAUUGACUUCAAAGGUAGUUGGGUAGAUCACUUACCAUUGAUAGAGUUCAUAUAUAAUAACAAUUAUCAUGCCAGUAUUAAGAUGGCUCCUUUUGAGGCACUGUAUGCGAGAAGAUGUAAGUCGCCAAUAGGGUGGUAUGAAGUGGGUGAGACACAGUUGUUUGGGCCUGAUCUUGUUCAUCAGGCAAUGGAGGACGUAAAGAUUAUUAGAGAACGACCUAAGACUGCCCAGAGUAGACAAAAAUCCUAUGCCGAUGUCAGAAGAAGGGAGCUAAAAUUUGAAGUUAGUGAUUGGGUAUUUAUAAAAAUCUCCCCUAUGAAGGGAGUUAUGCGAUUCGGGAAGAAAGGUAACCUGAGUCCUCGCUAUAUAGGACCAUACCAGAUUUUGAGAAGGAUAGGUGUAGUUGCGUAUGAGUCAGAGUUGUCUGCAGAUCUGGGUUCUGUUCAUCUCGUAUUUUACAUAUCCAUGCUGAAGAAAUAUAUUAGAGACCAUUCCUGGUGUUGCCUGUAGAAGAGAUCAAGGUGACAGACUCAUUAGCAUAUGAAGAGAAAACUAUUGCAAUCUUAGAUCGCCAAGUUCAGCAGUUGAGAAGUAAAGAGAUAGUGUCAGUUAAGGUGUUGUGGAGAAAUCAGAAAGUUGAAGAAGCAACUUGGGAAUCAGAAGAUGACAUGAGAGCAAGAUACCCAAACCUGUUUGAUCCGGUGAAUGACGAAACGGAAGGUACAAUCAUUGCUUUAUUCUUUUACGGUCUUAGUAUACCUUAAAUCGUGCUUGUCUGUGUUCCGCGUCAUCAUUCGGGGAUUAAUGAUCCCAAGGGGGGAUAAUGUAAUGCCCCAAAUUAUCCAUGCGUUAGCUUGUGGUAAUAUGCUCUUAGAGUUAAAUGACUAGAAUAGUGUCAAAGAGACCUGGUCUCAUUUUUUUGACUUUCAAAGUAAGUAAAGUUUAAACCAUCUAUAAUUUCCCUAAUUUCGACUUUUUAUCAUGUGAAAAAUUGAAUGAACUUUCCGUCGAUAUAAUAUUCGCCCAAAUUCGAUACCCGAGCAAGAAGUUAUGGCUAGUUUAAGUCCUAGUCGUAAAACACCGUUAUUUUGGUGCUUGGCCCAUCGCGGAGGUGGUCUACUUAGAAAUUCUCAAAUUCCAAUAGCCUAGCACGAUUGUGGCACGUCGCGCUGAAGUUUCAGGUUCCAACUAGUUGGACAACGCGUUGGCUCCGUAUUGCGGUGACCUUAAGAAUCCCAUUCAUCUAAUUCCAGUGAGCCACCGCGAUUGUGGCAUGUCACGGUGGCCCAUAAAACUGAGCUCCCAGUUAUAUUUUGUUCCAUCUUAUUAAGGUAAUAUUAGGUAUUUUUUCACCCCCCUUAUCAGCUUAAACACGGGAUUACACUCCCAAGUGACCACAUUAUUCAUAUUUUCAUCAAAAAUUCACAAGAACACUCUCUAGGAUUUCAAACUAAAAAUCCAAAUAACUCAAGAUUUAACCAUGGCUUUUCAAGAUUGAUUGAAGAUUCGGAAUUCCCAAACCGUAGGCUUCAAGAAUCAUCCAUUAUUUUCUGUAUUGAGGUACGUGGGGGUUUCCUAAAAAUCUCAUGGGCAUAGAAAUCAUGAUUUUUAAGAAAAGAGUUUUAGAUUUAUGAUUUAUAAUCAUGCUUUAGAAGUCUCAAUGACAUUGUUUUGGUCUUUAGGCUUUUCCCCAAAUUGAUUUAAAAUUCUAUAUAUAUGUAUGUAUGUGUUUAAGGAUGAAUAUUCAAUUGAGAGCAUGAGUUAUAAUGAAUCCCUCUGUUGAUAUGAUUUUUUUCAUUAUUCGUAUGAUAUGGAUUGUUUUGAAAAGCAUGAUAUGAAAUGUCUUGAAUUGUACUAUGAUUUGAACAUGAUUGUGAAAUCAAAAAAGAUGGUUGUGCAUGUUGAUAAAUGUUGAAUAUACAUAUAAUGAAAGAGUGCAUGGUUUUGCCAAAGUUACAUGACCAACAUAUGUUUGAAGAAUUCUUGCAUAAUUUUGACUUAUGUUUCGGAACAUGAAAUCUCUUAUGCUAUUUGCAUGUUUGGGUGGUUUGAAUUGAGUUUUGAUUAAAGAAUCAUGUAUGAGGCAUUAUGACUCAGAAAAAGGACUUGCAAGUCUUGGUGUAACGACACCAACUCAGAUAACACCAUGUUAAUUCAGAACAGAAUAGAAUGUAUGUUUGAAAUUAGAUUUUCAGAUUUUAAUACUAGAGUGGUGCAUGUUUCAGAACAGACUAAAAUUGGGCAUAAAGAGCGCUUAGGUGGUUCCCCGAAAAAGGCACGAGUUCAGAUUACUCAUUGCCCAAAACCGUGAUUUGCCGAUCCGGGUAUAUUAUUAUACGCUGGCCUAGUACCCUGUGGUGUAUCAGACUCAGACACUCCGACCCUUGCGACACACUUGGGUUAGGGGCUUCCCUGCCGAGUCAAUGACGGAUUUCAUAUAGCCCGUGGAAUAUUAGACUUAUAGGGGAGUGCCACCUAACUCAGAAGUAAUACAAAGAUCAGAGGCAGCAUUGACAGAAAAGUUUUAUAAUUAUCAAUAGGGGUGUGCAUCGGUUGGUUCGGUUCGAUUUUAUAUACUAUCGGUUAGAUUUAUUAAUUUUUAAAUAUGCUAAAUCAAUAACCAAACCAAUAAGAUAUUUCUUAUCGAUUUUCGGUUUAUCGAUUUUUUGUCCUUAAUGGUUCGGUUUUUGGUUUAACCGAUAAGAAAAUACUCAUAAAAUAGAAAUAGUAACUAACAUGAAAAAAAUGAAUCUUAGUUGCAACCAAAAAUCCUAUAUGAUGUGUUUUAAUUUAUAAGAAUCUUGAAGUUUGAACUAAAUGUUGUUAGAAGAAAUUAAGAGUUUGUAUCAUUGAAAUAAAAGGUUUGUUAAUUUGUAGAAAUUAAAGAGAAAUAUAUAAUAGGUCAUAUAUAUAUAUUCUUAUUGGGUUAUCGGUUUACCCAAUAACCCAAUAAGAAAAAAUCGAACCGAACCAAUAACCCAAUAAUUUUUUUAUAAAACCAUUCAAAAACCGUUAACUCAAUAACCCAAUAACAAUAAACCAAUAACCUUUUUAUCGGUUCGGUUUUUGCACACCCCUAAUUAUCAAAGAUGCCCAUGUGUUUUGGAAUUUAUAUCGUAUGUGAUGUUUUAUGACUAGCUCUCAACUAUUUUAUUAAAAUUAAAAGCUUUAUUUUGGAUUGCUCUGCGUACCAGUACACCUGUAUGUAUUGACCCCCUACCUCUCAGGUUCGGAGACUCAGUCCAAGGUCCGGCUAAUCAGUAGAGUAUUCCAGAGAGAAGUGAUCCGUUCAGUGGUGAGCCUUCUUUGUUCCAGAAGGCUUGUUAUUUCAGAUUAUGUUAUUCCGUUGUUUUGGUCUAUUGGGGCCUUGUCCUAGUUUUCAGAACAAUUUUGAGAUGUAGAGAUUUCGCAGAUUGAGUCAGAUCUUAUUCAGAUGUUUUGAAUCGUAACUUUCAUUCUCAUGUCUUGAAACUCAGAGUUAAUGACCAUGUUUCCGUAUAAGAUUAUAUUUUCGCAUAUUCUCUUAUUAUAUGAAUGUUGUGCAUGACUAUCAAAUAGAGUAGGACGUUCGGGCCUUCAUGGUUCGGGAUGUCCGUCACUGCCAGGCCCUAGUUCGGAUCGUGAUAUAUAUGCUUUAGAAAUAUAUGAGAAGUAUGCAUUUCUCUAGAGGUAUAUAUAGAAAAUAUGCAUUGGUGUAAUGGAGAUAUAUUAAAAGUAUGGAUCUCUGUAAUAACACUUUCUCUAUUUAGCAUUUGUCAAGGUGGAUCAGUUGAUGCCAGGGACCGAGGGCAGGAAUCUAAUUGUCAAGGUCCUAAAUACUGAUGUGGUGGUUGACAAGAGCCAAAAUACUGAGCAGCAGUCCUAUCUAUACUCAUAUUCUCAAUUGCGAAUCACACGUGUAGCUGAGAGCGUUGUUGGAGAUGAAACUGGAACUAUCAUAUUCACUGCUCGUCAUGAACAAGCUAAGGUAAUGCCAAUCUUCUUUUUCUCUUUUGUUGCCUUAACAUAAGCUCAUUUUCUGUGAGCUGACUGCAGUCCAAGUCCUAGAUUGGUCUAUCCAGUCUCCACUAUCAAGGAACAAUAACAAUAGUGACAAAUUUGAUUGCUAUUAGCAUAAUACCUAUUGCUUGUGCUUAUGAUAGCUGUGGAUUUGUCAUGUGGUUGACUUGAUGGAGCCAGGUAACAUCCUACUUAUUUAUGGUGCAAAAAUCCAAAUGUAUCGAGGUUUCAUGAGGUUAGCUGUUGACCAUCGAGCACAAAUCAUAAUCGCAGAACCAGUGGAAUUUGUAGUAAAUGAAGAUUGCAGCAAGUCUUUGGUUGAGUACGAGGUAAUCCCGAAAUAUUGAUGAUGAAGAAAGAACUCAACACUAUUCAUCACCUUAGACCUGCAAGGUGUCUCUACCUUAAAGAAUGCCUUGGUGUAUAUUUUUUGUAUUUUCUCGGUUCAGAAGCUCACUGUAUCAGCUGAUUGCCCAAAAGGCUAUUAGUUUGUAGCAUUUCAGUGGUAAAGCUUUGAAUUUUGCAUGCUGUUCUCAGCCUUAGCAACGCACUUCCUUCAUCAUGUCAUUCUCAUAUCAUCUUUUAAUUUGAAAAGUUUUGGUGGUUUAUGUGUAUCAAAUGUAAAUCAAAAGACAAAUCUUCAUUUUGUUUAAUUUCAAAUGAUGCUCCAUCCGUUAGGAUCCUAUUAAAAAAAUGAUAGCUAUAAUAACUUUACCAUACUAAGUGAUGUUUAAUAAUAGGUAUUGGAAAAUGAUUUGAAGAAUAAGUAAUUAAUGGUAAGAGUAGAAUAUGAAAAAAAUUUGACUUUUUUAAUUUUGUCAAAAAUGACAAGCAAAAAUGAAGUUCGAAUGAAAAAAAUAGUAACAAAUAAAUCUGAAUGAAUGUUGUAAUUGAGAGCGCGUCAAUUGGAAAAGAAUGUUUCAAGUUGUGCGUCUUCGAUGGGGUCUCUGAGGACAAAAAAGAUACACUUGAAGUAAAAAGUAUGCACUGUCUAAAGUUUGCUAAUUUUUGCGGGUACUUUACAAAGCUCUAAGUGGUUUGAAAUUUUGAAGUAAUUGUUACUCCCUCAAUUCUUUUAUAAUUUCUCUUUUUGGGUUGUAAUUUUAUUUCUAAGUAAAUGUUUGUUUAAGCCUUCAAGAAUAUUAUGAUUAUAAUCUUUUGGAAAAAGGCUUAAAUAUGUCACUGAACUAUUAGAAAUGACUCAUUUAUGACAUUCGUUAAAAGUUCGGCUCAUUCAUGCCAUUGCCGUUACGAAACAGACCCAUUCAUGCCAUUACUUUUUAACAGCCGAUUUUUUUAAAAAUUUUUGCCACGUGACAUCUUAUUAGAGGUCCACGUUAUUAAGUACAAUAAAUUAAUUUUAAUUAAAAUAAAAAACAUGAGACCCAUUUAAUAUCCCAUCCAUUAAAUUACCCGAUCCACAUCCAUUCAAUAUUACUCUUCCGNNNNNNNNNNNNNNNNNNNNNNNNNNNNNNNNNNNNNNNNNNNNNNNNNNNNNNNNNNNNNNNNNNNNNNNNNNNNNNNNNNNNNNNNNNNNNNNNNNNNNNNNNNNNNNNUAUUCCAGAAUUGGUUAAUCUUAGGUAUAGGUCGGGCAUAAAAUAGCCGUCUGAAGACGAUUUUGGUUCUGCAUCUUAUACGGAUCCCGAGCUUUGUUUGAAUGCUAUAUGUGCUUUGUACCGUCAACAAAUUUCUAGAAACAAAUUCUCCUCGAUGAGUAAGAAUGACAAAAAAAGGUAUAUAUCAAUUUCUCGAUUGUUUUUUUUCUUUAGUUCAUGGAAAGACAAUCUUUGUAAUCUGUUUUUGCCUGCUUUUUCUUAAAGGAUUACUGCUUUAGGGGUGUUUCUGUGUGAUGAGGAUCGCGAAAACAAGCUCAAGAGAACAAUUUCGGAGGUUGGACCGGAAGAUCUUUGGAGAUGCAAGACACUGUCUAUUCAAUACUACUGCCAAAUAUAUGGGAUUUACAAUAGCAAGAAAGACCAUCUGUUCUGCCCCGGUGCUGCUAUCUGGAAAUUAAGCUCCAGUUGAUGCGAAGGCUGUCUGCUUGUCUCUAUGUGUACAAAUGCUCAAAACGAGGGUCUAGUUGUUGCACCAGACUCCGAGGGAGCUCGGCAAAAAGUUCUUAUACUAGACUUGCUUUGUUAGUAGGAACAAUUAGGUGCUUAUCGUUAAUCUGUUGGACUUCAAUGUAGUAAUUUGAUUAUGAAUUGCUAUAUUUAUAGAAUGGUUUGAGUACAAUUGAACAGUGGAGGCAUGUAAUGUAUCGUGACAUUAUUCGUACAGCUAUUCGAAAACAUGUUUGCUCGAUACAUAUUGUUGAGUCAUGGUAUUGGUAUACAGUUGCGGAAGCUAAAGAGCGAUUUUGUGUUUGAAUAACCCAGAAAAAAAAAGUUGAGCACAAAGAGAAUGAGUUAUUUAAUGAUAGCGUGGGAAGAUAAUGUGGUGAUAUUAAAUGGGUGUGGGUCGGAUAUUUAAUGGAUCGGGUAAUUUAGUGGAUGGGAUAUUAAAUGGGUCUCAUGUUUUUUAUUUUAAUUAAAAUUAAUUUAUUUUACUUAAUGACGUGGACCUCUAAUAAGAGGCCAUGUGACAAAGUUGUUUUUAAAAACUGGUUGUUAAAAAGUAAUGACAUAGAUGGACCGAUUUCGUAAUGGCGACGCAUGAAUAAACCGAACUUUUAACGGAUAAUAUAAAUGAACUAUUUCUGAUAGUUCAGUGCCAUAUUUAAGUCUUUUCCCUAAUCUUUUUAAUAUGUCCUUGAAUUUCAACUUGAAAAGAGAUAAAAUUUAAUGAAUAAAUUAGUAUAGUUACCUUUAGGAGUGACAAUUUCAGCCCAUAUUUGUGAAAAGAGUUCAUUUAACCCAUAUUUAGUGAAUUUGAUCAUUCAUAUUUCAAAUGGGUAAAUAUGGACUUCAACUCAUUUUAAAAGUUCAUAUAAAUAUGGACAAAAUGGAUAAAAUAUGUGUACCCAUUUAAACACAGAAAUCACCUACAUAUGCUUAAAGUUUCAGUUUUUUUUCUUUUCUAGUUUCUUUUCUUUUUCUUUUGCUUUUUUCCUUUAAUUUACUUUUUUUCUUUUUCAUUUUUUACUCAUUCCUUAUAAUUUCUUUUUUUCUUUCUAAUUUUUUCAUCUAUUUUUUUAUUUUUUUUAUUUUUUUUAUUUUUUUUCUUUGUAUUUUUUUUCGCUUUUCGCUUUCUCAUUCUUAUUUCAUCAUUCAUAUUCGUUUGAGACCUACAUGGGUUAGUAAAUAUAAGCUUCUAAUUAUCCCAUUUAGCCUAUACAAUUCAUAACAUCUCUUAUCAAUUAGAUAUAAUCCAUAGUCUCCUCCUUUAUUAUUAUUUUUUUCUAUCUUUUAUUUCUCUUUCUUUUUUUUUUUUUGCUUUUUUCUUUCUUUUUUCCUUUAAUUUAUUUUUUUUUCUUUUUCAUUUUUUUCACUUAUUUUUUACUCGUUUCUUACACUUUUUUUCUUUCUUCGUUUUCAUCAUUUUUUUCUUUUUCAAUUUUAUUUCCUUGUAUUCUUUUUUUUUUGUAUUUCCGUUUCCCCCUUUUUCAUUCUUGGUUCGUCAUUUUGUCAUUUUUCUUAUUUUUUAUAUUCUUUUCCUCAUAUUUUUUGUCAUUGCAUUUUAUAUUUUUUUACUUUGAAUUUAUUUGUAUUAUACUAUAUAUUUCAAAUAAAUUUAUUAUUUGUAUUUGAAUAGUUUAGUUGUCAAUAUGUGCAAUUUAUCAUUUGUAUUUAUAUACAAAUAAAUAUAUAAAUUAAAAUCAACAUGGGUUGUGGUGCAGUGGAUGAGACUGCUCCACCCUUAACCAGAGGUCGAGGGUACGACCCUGGUUAUGGAGAAAACUCUGUUGGGAGCGCUGCCACCUUAAUGGGCCCUGCAACUCCCGAUCCGGAUUAGUCGUGGCUCUAAUGCAGGCACCAGAUGAAAAAACAAAAAUAAAUAUAUGAAUUAAUUGUGUUUUCUUGAGAUUAAAAUAUAUAUGGUUGAGGAUCCACAUAGCCCUCGAAUUAUAAAUAUUGGGCGAAUAUAAAUCAAUAUGCGCUUAUGGUAUUUUCGUUAUCAUAAAAAAAAAAAGGAAACCAAAAAUAGAAAAAAAAAAAUAGAAAGAGAGAUCAAAGUUAGAGAUAAAAGAGAGAAAAAAGCGUAAAGAAAGAAUUGAAGAAAAAAAUAUAAAAAAAAUCAAAAAGAAAAAAUAAUGAAAAAGGAGAAAAGGAAAAAGAAAAAAGAUGAUGGUGAAAACAAAUAUACUGAGUGUUUACGAUAUUUUAGUCAUCAUCAAUAAUUUGUAUUCGACUUAACCAUGUUCUUCGAAAAUAAAAAAAAAUAUAAAACAUAAAAUACAACCAAAAAAGAAAAAAAUAAGAAAGAAGUAAAAAAAAAAGACUAAAAAGGAAAAGGAAAAAAAAGAAAAAAGAAAGACAAACAAAGGGUAGAGCGUAGAGAUAGAAGAGAGAAAAAAAAAAGAAAUGAGAAAAAAAUGAAAAAAGUAAAAAAAAAAAAAGAAAUUGAAAAAAAGUCAAGUUGUUAUGAUAUAGAAGUUUAAGUUUUUGACUUGGGAGUUAAAGUAGGUUGAAACCAUUUUUACCCAAUCCAUAUUUGACCAAAUCCAUAUUUACCCAUAUUUAUAUGAGCAGAUUGCAAUCCAAACCAUUUUUGCUCGAUCCAUAUUUAACCUGUUCAAAUCAAAUCCAAUCCGUCCGUUUGUCACCCCUAGUUACCUUUAAUUUUUUUUUUUAGAAGCAUUUACUUAUAAAUGAAGGGAGUAUUUUUUUGGACUACUUUAAUAAAUGAUCACUCACUUUUCAUUUUUGUAAUAUAAAAAUCAAUCAACUUUAUGUAAGUAUUCAAGAAAAGCUUCAACAUGACAAAAGUCCUUUAAUUAUUGCUUUGAGAUAUUGCAAUUAAGUAAUCAAUCAACUUUAUUUAAGUAUUGUAAAAAAGUUGUAUGCUGGGGUAGGUGAGGGCGGGUGGGGUGGGGUAGGCGUGAAAAUAGUCCUUCUUCGGAAUCGUGUCAGAACUCAAGAUCUACAUUGCAACCAGUCGUAUUUCUUAAGUAUAAUAUUAUUUCUCCCAUCCCAACACUAUCAUAAGAAAUAUCAAAAUUGAGGAGAAAGAUGGCAUGAAUGAACAAAGGAUGGGAGAUUUUAAGUGGAAAAAUCAAGAGCAUAGCAGAAAGAUGGGAGAUUUUGAGUGAUACGACCAACUAGGAAGGCUUACUUGACCCUUUGGAUUACCAUCUUCGCCGAUACCUCAUUCACUAUGGUCAAAUGCCUCAAGCCAUUGGCGAUUCAUUCAACAGUGAAACAGCUUCAAAGUAUUAUGGAACAAGUCGAUACUCCGAAAAGAACCUCUUCAAAAGUGUGGGAUUCGACAAAAACAACCCCUACAAAUAUGAAAUCACCAAAUAUUUCUAUGCAGCUUCAGAUGUAACAGAGAAGGUGAAAGAAUCAAAUUGGAUUUGUUGGUGUUGCCACUGAUGAGGGUAAAGUUGCAUUAGUCAGGAGAGAUAUUUUAAUUGCUUGGAGAGGUAC
rnacentral:lncRNA from 1 species